rnacentral:rRNA from 1 species
AUACGUAGGGUGCGAGCGUUAAUCGGAAUUACUGGGCGUAAAGCGUGCGCAGGCGGUUUUGUAAGUCAGAUGUGAAAUCCCCGGGCUCAACCUGGGAACUGCAUUUGAGACUGCAAGGCUAGAGUUUGGCAGAGGGGGGUGGAAUUCCACGUGUAGCAGUGAAAUGCGUAGAGAUGUGGAGGAACACCGAUGGCGAAGGCAGCCCCCUGGGCCAAUACUGACGCUCAUGCACGAAAGCGUGGGGAGCAAACAGGAUUAGAUACCCUGGUAGUCCACGCCCUAAACGAUGUCAACUAGGUGUUGGGAGGGUUAAACCUCUUAGUGCCGUAGCUAACGCGUGAAGUUGACCGCCUGGGGAGUACGGCCGCAAGGCUAAA